CUCCUACGGGAGGCAGCAGUGAGGAAUAUUGGUCAUUGGGCGCAAGCCUGAACCAGCCAUCCCGCGUGCAGGAUGACGGCCCUAUGAGUUGUAAACUGCUUUUAUACACCAAGAAAAACUCCGACGUAUCGGAGCCCGACGGUAGUGUAUGAAUAAGCAUCGGCUAACUCCGUGCCAGCAGCCGCGGUAAUACGGAGGAUGCAAGCGUUAUCCGGAUUCAUUGGGUUUAAAGGGUGCGUAGGCGGCUUUUUAAGUCAGUGGUGAAAUCCUGUCGCUUAACGAUAGAAUUGCCAUUGAUACUGAAGAGCUUGAGUUUAGUUGAGGUAAGCGGAAUGUGUAGUGUAGCGGUGAAAUGCUUAGAUAUUACACAGAACACCGAUUGCGAAGGCAGCUUACUAAGCUAACACUGACGCUGAUGCACGAAAGCGUGGGGAGCGAACAGGAUUAGAUACCCUGGUAGUCCACGCCGUAAACGAUGCUCACUCGCUGUAUGCGAUACACAGUAUGCGGCCAAGCGAAAGCAUUAAGUGAGCCACCUGGGGAGUACGAUCGCAAGGUUGAAACUCAAAGGAAUUGACGGGGGCCCGCACAAGCGGAGGAACAUGUGGUUUAAUUCGAUGAUACGCGAGGAACCUUACCUGGGCUUAAAUGGGGAACGACAGCUGCCGAAAGGUGGCCUUCUUCGGACGUUCUUCAAGGUGCUGCAUGGUUGUCGUCAGCUCGUGCCGUGAGGUGUCGGGUUAAGUCCCAUAACGAGCGCAACCCUUAUCGUUAGUUGCCAGCGGGUGAUGCCGGGGACUCUAGCGAGACUGCCACCGUAAGGUGUGAGGAAGGUGGGGAUGACGUCAAAUCAGCACGGCCCUUAUGUCCAGGGCUACACACGUGUUACAAUGGCAAGUACAAAGGGCAGCUACCCCGUGAGGGGAUGCUAAUCUCUAAAGCUUGUCUCAGUUCGGAUCGAAGUCUGCAACCCGACUUCGUGAAGCUGGAUUCGCUAGUAAUCGCAUAUCAGCCAUGAUGCGGUGAAUACGUUCCCGGGCCUUGCACACACCGCCCGU
rnacentral:rRNA from 1 species